CUCUUCUGAUUUGCAAGGAGGCUGAAAAAAUAACUCAGGAUAUUGUGUGUUGUCAUGGACUUCGACUCUUUAUUACCGUGAGAUGGGAGUUAAGUAACAGCACAAAAUGU